CAGAAGCCUUUAUCAAAAUAAGAUAGUUUAUUAAGGUGUAAAAUUAAUUAAUAGCACGAAACAAAAAUAAAUAGACUACACGAACACUGACAUUAGGCACGGAGUUGAAAAGCAUGCACAGAGUGGUGCCAGGUAAAUUUGCAUGCAGAGGGUUAAAAUAACAACACUACAAUAAUGUAACCCAGUAAUAUUCUUAUUAAUUAACAAUAAAGUAUCUAAAUACACGCCUGGUUUUCACAAAGUUCCUGGCGAUUCUCGUCUAAUACAAGCAAACAGACCGAAGACAACUUAUGGCAAAGGUCACAACUUUUACUUUCAAACGAGAAUGAAGAAACGGUUGUUCUAGGGCUUCGUCUGCUACAUUGUCUGCUUCAGGUUCCUGUCCUUCACUUUCUUUAUGUGAUCAGAGAAGUUCCCGUAGACUACGCAAGGUCAUCGUCCAAGAAAAGGCUUUCUGGCAUGGGCUCGCCUGCUUGUGUCCUGGUCACGUGGUAACCUACGUCACAUCAUGGCUGCGUUUCCGUUCAGUUCUUUUUGCUGUAUUGUGCGCAGUAGUUUGGGAAGAGACUUGAGUACUUCUGCUUUUGGCCUUUGUCCACGUCGCACCAGAGUGCAUUGUGGUCACAAAGGCCGGUUGUGUAGGCCCCAUCGUACAGGCGAGC